AUUGAACGCUGGCGGCAUGCUUUACACAUGCAAGUCGAACGGUAACAGGCCGCAAGGUGCUGACGAGUGGCGAACGGGUGAGUAAUGCAUCGGAACGUGCCCAGUCGUGAGGGAUAACGCAGCGAAAGCUGUGCUAAUAUCGCAUACGAUCUAUGGAUGAAAGCGGGGGACCGUAAGGCCUCGCGCGAAUGGAGCGGCCGAUGUCAGAUUAGGUAGUUGGUGGGGUAAAGGCCCACCAAGCCAACGAUCUGUAGCUGGUCUGAGAGGGCGACCAGCCACACUGGGACUGAGACACGGCCCAGACUCCUACGGGAGGCAGCAGUGGGGAAUUUUGGACAAUGGGCGCAAGCCUGAUCCAGCAAUGCCGCGUGCAGGAAGAAGGCCUUCGGGUUGUAAACUGCUUUUGUACGGAACGAAACGGUCUGGGUUAAUACCCUGGGCUAAUGACGGUACCGUAAGAAUAAGCACCGGCUAACUACGUGCCAGCCGCCGCCGUAAUAC
rnacentral:rRNA from 1 species